AAUAAAGAAAAGAAAAGAAAAGAAAAUAAAAGAAAUAAUAACAAUAAUAAUGGAUUGGGCUUAGUUUUGAGUUGGGCUUGGAUUAAGUGGGCUGGUGGCUUUUAAAAGCAAGUGGGCUGGUGGUUUUUUUUUUAAAAGCCAUGUGCGUGGGCUGAUUAAAAUAAAAAGAAAUGGGCUUAAGUGAAGAAGAGGGAACAGUAGCAGAUCUGGAAGAAAAGGGGGCGGCGGCACUGUAGCAAUCUCACCUCGCCGAAGCUUUGACCGGCCGUUUGGGUGGUCAAACGACCUCCGUUUCGGCUCAGAUUUGGAUGGGGUGUUCUACUCGAUGAGAGGAAUAAUCCCACGGUGGCCAAUCAUAUUGUUAGCGGCUAAAUUCUUAGAUCUGUGAUGCAGAUAUCUCUCCUGAGGAUCCACAGGUGGGACAGGGAGGACUUCAGGAUGCUCCUGGAGCGGCCUAGUGGAGCGUGGCAUUUAUUUGUUAUUGUGUUCCUUUUUGGAUUUUGGGGAUUUGUUUUAGCAAUUAUGACUCAUGGAUUUGCUAUGAAGCUUUAUUUGAUUAAGUUGUUAAUUGUGAACUUUUAUUUUGGACUAUAAUGAAUAUUUAUUUAAUCUUGUUGUUUUGAGUA